rnacentral:rRNA from 1 species
UACAGAGGCCUCAAGCGUUGUUCGGAUUCAUUGGGCGUAAAGGGUGCGUAGGUGGCGGGGUAAGUCUGGUGUGAAAUCCCGGGGCUCAACCCCGGAACUGCACUGGAUACUGCUUUGCUAGAGUACUGGAGAGGGAACUGGAAUUUACGGUGUAGCAGUGAAAUGCGUAGAUAUCGUAAGGAAGACCAGUGGCGAAGGCGAGUUCCUGGACAGUUACUGACACUGAGGCACGAAGGCCAGGGGAGCAAACGGG